CAAAGAGAAAGUCUUUCACUGCCAGAGGAGAACACCAGGAUACUUCAGUCCAGCGACGAUCGGAGAGAGGAUUCUUCGCCGGAGGGAGGAGCAGCUGCCGCCGCGAGUGUUGCCGCAGCUGGAUUUUUUAGAGAGAGAGGGAGAGAGUGUUUCUCGUAUCUUUGAUUUAUAUCUCUGGUUUGCCGCCGAUAUGUUCUCUGAGAUCUAUUCUCGUCAGUUAUUGUUUUCUAUUUUUUGUCUGUUAUUUUGAGGUAGCAUUUAGCUAAAGAUUUGAGAAAUUAAAUGUAUGUAUUUGUGACA